GGGAUUGUUAAGGACAUUAGGUGUGUCUUCCUUUGCUUGUAUGACCUUGUUAUCAAUUAGCUUCUGGAUCUUAUCCUUCAAUGUUCGUCACUCAGCAGUGGUGUGCCCUUUCAUACCGGAGUGGUACACACAAGUUUUGUUCGGAUUAACCUACUAGGAUGGAUUUUCUAAUUCCACAGUGAGAACAUGAGUGACGUAACUUGUGACUUUUAACCUUUCAUACAAUUGGUUGAUGGGCUCAGCAAUGGCGGUGUACUGUCUGGGUGGCUUGCGGUCGAAGUUGGGUCUUGGUCUUGGAUAAUUUUGUUUAGUUGGUGGUGAUUGAAAGUGGGAUGGUUGGGAGUUGUAGGUGUGAUGGACAUAGGAUGGUUAGGAAUAUCUAGGAGAUGAAGGUUGAUAUAUCGACGAUGAUACUUGGUAUGUGGGUGGAGGUGUUUGAUAUGUGGGUGAAGGUGUUUUAUAUGUGGGUGGAGGUGUCUGAUAAGUAAGUGCGUAUUUUGGGCCCUGGGUUACCAUUAUUGUCCUAACAUCUCUCUUCUUCGAUAUGCCACCUGAUUGUAGUGCCUUAUUCCUGGCUUGAAAGGCCUCGAAGUUUGUUACUAUCCUACUCUUGAUUCCUUCUUUGAUUCUUUCUCCGAGUUUGAUGAUGUCAGAGAAUUUGUGAUUUUCGAUAACCAUCUGCCUCUCAUAAUAAUGUAGAUCCUAUGACCUGACAAAGAAAUUAUUCACCUGUUCUUCGUCCAAAGAGGUCCUGACCUUGACCGCUUCCGACCUCCAACAAGUAAC
rnacentral:lncRNA from 1 species